CCCUUAGAUGUUCUGGGCCGCACACGCGCUACACUGAAGGAGGCAGCGUGUACUCCUGGAUCGAAAGAUUUGGGUAACCCGCGAAUCUCCUUCGUGCCAGGGAUUGAGGUUUGCAAUUAUCCUUCAUGAACGAGGAAUUCCCAGUAAGUGCAAGUCAUAAGCUUGCGCUGACUACGUCCCUGCCCUUUGUACACACCGCCCGUCGCUACUACCGAUUGAAUGAUUUAGUGAGGACUUCGGACUGGGACCGAUGCGGCUUUCGGGCUGCGUCGGUAUUCUGGAAAGAUGUCCAAACUGUAUCAUUUAGAGGAAGUAAAAGUCGUANCA
rnacentral:rRNA from 1 species